GGAGAGGUAGCGAAGCGGUCAUAACGCGGCGGUCUUGAAAACCGUUUGAGGGCAACCUCACAUGGGUUCGAAUCCCAUCCUCUCCGCCA
rnacentral:tRNA from 1 species